rnacentral:rRNA from 1 species
CAGCCCAGAGCCUGAAUCAGUGUGUGUGUUAGUGGAAGCGUCUGGAAAGGCGUGCGAUACAGGGUGACAGCCCCGUACACAAAAAUGCACAUAUUGUGAGCUCGAUGAGUAGGGCGGGACACGUGGUAUCCUGUCUGAAUAUGGGGGGACCAUCCUCCAAGGCUAAAUACUCCUGACUGACCGAUAGUGAACCAGUACCGUGAGGGAAAGGCGAAAAGAACCCCGGCGAGGGGAGUGAAAAAGAACCUGAAACCGUGUACGUACAAGCAGUGGGAGCACGCUUAGGCGUGUGACUGCGUACCUUUUGUAUAAUGGGUCAGCGACUUAUAUUCUGUAGCAAGGUUAACCGAAUAGGGGAGCCGAAGGGAAACCGAGUCUUAACUGGGCGUUAAGUUGCAGGGUAUAGACCCGAAACCCGGUGAUCUAGCCAUGGGCAGGUUGAAGGUUGGGUAACACUAACUGGAGGACCGAACCGACUAAUGUUGAAAAAUUAGCGGAUGACUUGUGGCUGGGGGUGAAAGGCCAAUCAAACCGGGAGAUAGCUGGUUCUCCCCGAAAGCUAUUUAGGUAGCGCCUCGUGAAUUCAUCUCCGGGGGUAGAGCACUGUUUCGGCAAGGGGGUCAUCCCGACUUACCAACCCGAUGCAAACUGCGAAUACCGGAGA